AACGAACGCUGGCGGCAGGCUUAACACAUGCAAGUCGAGCGCCCCGCAAGGGGAGCGGCAGACGGGUGAGUAACGCGUGGGAAUCUACCCAUCUCUACGGAAUAACGCAUGGAAACGUGUGCUAAUACCGUAUACGUCCUUCGGGAGAAAGAUUUAUCGGAGAUGGAUGAGCCCGCGUUGGAUUAGCUAGUUGGUGGGGUAAAGGCCUACCAAGGCGACGACCCAGAGCUGGUCUGAGAGGAUGAUCAGCCACACUGGGACUGAGACACGGCCCAGACUCCUACGGGAGGCAGCAGUGGGGAAUAUUGUACAAUGGGCGCAAGCCUGAUCCAGCCAUGCCGCGUGAGUGAUGAAGGCCCUAGGGUUGUAAAGCUCUUUCACCGGUGAAGAUAAUGACGGUAACCGGAGAAGAAGCCCCGGCUAACUUCGUGCCAGCAGCCGCCGUAAGAC
rnacentral:rRNA from 1 species